AUGGCGGAAUUGGUAGACGCGCACGGUUCAGGUCCGUGUGCCGCAAGGCGUGGAGGUUCGAGUCCUCUUCUGGGCACCA
rnacentral:tRNA from 1 species